AGCGGCGAACGGGUGAGGAAUGCAUGGGUAACCUACCCUCGAGUGGGGAAUAACUAGCCGAAAGGUUAGCUAAUACCGCAUACGAUUCCCGGGCUGCGGUUCGGGAGGGAAAGCGAUACCGUGGGUAUCGCGCUCUUGGAUGGGCUCAUGUCCUAUCAGCUUGUUGGUGAGGUAAUGGCUCACCAAGGCUUCGACGGGUAGCUGGUCUGAGAGGACGAUCAGCCACACUGGCACUGCGACACGGGCCAGACUCCUACGGGAGGCAGCAGUAAGGAAUAUUGCGCAAUGGACGAAAGUCUGACGCAGCGACGCCGCGUGGGGGAUGAAGGUCUUCGGAUUGUAAACCCCUUUCGGCAGGGAAGAUGGAACGGGUAACCGUUCGGACGGUACCUGCAGAAGCAGCCACGGCUAACUUCGUGCCAGCAGCCGCGGUAAUACGAAGGUGGCAAGCGUUGUUCGGAUUCACUGGGCGUACAGGGAGCGUAGGCGGUUGGGUAAGCCCUCCGUGAAAUCUCCGGGCCUAACCCGGAAAGUGCAGAGGGGACUGCUCGGCUAGAGGAUGGGAGAGGAGCGCGGAAUUCCCGGUGUAGCGGUGAAAUGCGUAGAGAUCGGGAGGAAGGCCGGUGGCGAAGGCGGCGCUCUGGAACAUUUCUGACGCUGAGGCUCGAAAGCGUGGGGAGCAAACAGGAUUAGAUACCCUGGUAGUCCACGCCUUAAACUAUGGAUACUAAG
rnacentral:rRNA from 1 species